UAUCUUUCUUUUAUUUACUUUCUUACUAAUUUUUGUGUCAUUAAUUUCCUGAUAUUUCAUAUUAUACCUCAACACUAGACUACACCCAGCACCGUCUGACUUCUUCACUUGGGUGUCAGCCAAGAAUUUCAAAAUGAAGUUCCACAUGGAGCCUCCAAUACUCCCCAGACUUGCCCUUCCCCUAUCUGUUUAAUGGCAACUCCCAUUUUAUAGUUUCUCAGCUCAAUAUUCUUGAUAUCCCCUUUUAGUUCUCUCUGUAUCUGUCUGGUUCUCAUUCUCUAUCUCUCCAUCACACACACACACACACACACACACACACACACACUUUCAGAUCUGUUGUGUAUGGAAAACCUGCCAGCUUUGCCUUUAAAGUGCAGUAAUUCCAAAUGGUGUUUUCAAAUUCACCUUCCCACCCUCACCACUUGGUAACUACACUACUUCCCUCACACGGUCAGGGCUCUACUGCAGACAUUUCUUGGAGGAAAUAAUGAGAACUAUUAUAAAUUCUUAUUUCAGGCACCCUCAAAAUUAUAGGCUAGCCAUAUUCUAUAUGAAUUUAAGCUUUUAUCAUUGCCCUUUUUUUCAUUCCAGUCUCUACACAGCAACCACAGUAUGCAAUUUUUUAGAAUUCCAAGCCGCAUCAUAACACUUUUUUUUUUGAGACGGCGUUUGGUUCUUGUUACCCAGGCUGGAGUGCAGUG
rnacentral:lncRNA from 1 species